rnacentral:rRNA from 1 species
AUUGAACGCUGGCGGCAGGCUUAACACAUGCAAGUCGAGCGGGGGAAGGUAGCUUGCUACCGGACCUAGCGGCGGACGGGUGAGUAAUGCUUAGGAAUCUGCCUAUUAGUGGGGGACAACAUCUCGAAAGGGAUGCUAAUACCGCAUACGUCCUACGGGAGAAGGCAGGGGAUCUUCGGACCUUGCGCUAAUAGAUGAGCCUAAGUCGGAUUAGCUAGUUGGUGGGGUGAAAGGCCUACCAAGGCGACGAUCUGUAGCGGGUCUGAGAGGAUGAUCCGCCACACUGGGACUGAGAGACGGCCCAGACUCCUACGGGAGGCAGCAGUGGGGAAUAUUGGACAAUGGUGGGAACCCUGAUCCAGCCAUGCCGCGUGUGUGAAGAAGGCCUUAUGGUUGUAAAGCACUUUAAGCGAGGAGGAGGCUACUCUAGUUAAUACCUAGGGAUAGUGGACGUUACUCGCAGAAUAAGCACCGGCUAACUCUGUGCCAGCCGCCGCCGUAA